CAAGGAGGUAAACUUUAUCUUGAAAGUCUCAAAACAACUUUGCAAAAUGUUUUAUAUGUACCUGAAAUGAAAUAUUGUUUACUUAGCNUUUCCAAGCUAGUAAAAGAAAAUUUUGAUGUCAGAUUCAGAGAGNAUGAAUGCCUGAUAAUGAAAAAUGAUGAGGUUUGCACUAAAGCUUAUUUGANAGAUGACUUNUACUGUCUAGAAAUGCCUGAACAAUGUGUUUGUACUGUUAAUACUAGUUCUAAUAUUUGUUUACACAGCUUAAAUUGCUUCCACGAUUGGCAUAGAAAGAUGGGACAUAUCUCUUUCCAAACUUUGGCCAAAACAGUCAAAGCAUGUGACAUUAAGGUGCAACCUUGCAAAACAUUUCUUGAGUGCACUGUUUGCAGACAGACUAACUUAAAAAGAUAUCCUUCCACUCGCAUCAGUGAAAGGAAAAGUUCAAGGCCUUUUGAGCUUGUACAUGCAGAUUUGCAAGGUCCAAAUGAAGUCUCCAUAGGGGGAUCUCGUUUUAUGUUAUUGCUGACAGAUGAUUUCUCAAGAUAUUCAUUUGUUUAUUUCUUGAAACACAAGUCAGAAGUUUUUGAAUAUUUUAAACAAUGGGUGAGAAUGAUUGAGAACAAACACAGCACAAAUGUUGCUGCAAUACAAACUGACAGAGGAGGUGAAUUUACGAGCAAACAAUUCAAAAGCUGGCUUCUUAAGAGAGGAAUUCAGCACAGGAUGACUAAUCCUUAUAGCCCAUUUGAAAAUGGUGUUGCUGAGAGGAGAAUCGGUUUAGUAAAAGCUAUGAGAGAAGCUAUGAUGCUUGAUGCUAACCUNUCUCCAAAGUAUUGGGCAGAAUGUUCAAGAACAGCNAUCUUUAACUUGAAUCGGUUAUGGAGCACUUCCAUUUCUGACAUUCCUUAUAGAAAGCUGUACAACAGAAAUCCCAAUUUUGAGUAUGCUCACACAUUUGGGCAACAUGCCUACGUUCUCUUACCUGAAGCUCAGAGAACAAAGCAAAGUAAAGCUUCUCUUUGUUAUUUCCUUGGGUACUCAGCUGGAUCAAAAAGUUUUCGUUUCAUAGAUAAAAAUGGCAAAAUAAUCAUUUCCAGAAGUGCCAAUUUCCUAGAGCAUGAGAACUGGGACAGAUUACAUUCUAACAAGGAAGUUUUUCUACAGCCAAUGCAGCAAGAAAGGGCAGAAGAGGGUGAUUCUUUUCAGAGCUCAGUUCCUUCUCCCUCAGUGUCUCAGCNUAAACUGAAACAUGAUACCUCACAGAGCAAAGAGGAAGGCGUGACUAGUCAUUCAAGCCAGUCAGGGCAGACUGUCAUUUCUCAACACNCUGUACCUAAGAGUGAGAAGCAAGACUUUCCAGUCAGA
rnacentral:lncRNA from 1 species